UACAGAGGGGGCAAGCGUUUGUUCGGAAUUACUGGGCGUAAAGGGCGCGUAGGCGGCCUUCUAAGUCGAACGUGAAAUCCCCGGGCUCAACCCGGGAACUGCGUCCGAUACUGGAAGGCUUGAAUCCGGGAGAGGGAUGUGGAAUUCCAGGUGUAGCGGUGAAAUGCGUAGAUAUCUGGAGGAACACCGGUGGCGAAGGCGACAUCCUGGACCGGUAUUGACGCUGAGGCGCGAAAGCCAGGGGAGCAAACAGG
rnacentral:rRNA from 1 species